rnacentral:rRNA from 1 species
UAGGGAAUCUUCGGCAAUGGACGGAAGUCUGACCGAGCAACGCCGCGUGAGUGAAGAAGGUUUUCGGAUCGUAAAGCUCUGUUGUAAGAGAAGAACGAGUGUGAGAGUGGAAAGUUCACACUGUGACGGUAUCUUACCAGAAAGGGACGGCUAACUACGUGCCAGCAGCCGCGGUAAUACGUAGGUCCCGAGCGUUGUCCGGAUUUAUUGGGCGUAAAGCGAGCGCAGGCGGUUAGAUAAGUCUGAAGUUAAAGGCUGUGGCUUAACCAUAGUACGCUUUGGAAACUGUUUAACUUGAGUGCAAGAGGGGAGAGUGGAAUUCCAUGUGUAGCGGUGAAAUGCGUAGAUAUAUGGAGGAACACCGGUGGCGAAAGCGGCUCUCUGGCUUGUAACUGACGCUGAGGCUCGAAAGCGUGGGGAGCAAACAGGAUUAGAUACCCUGGUAGUCCACGCCGUAAACGAUGAGUGCUAGGUGUUAGACCCUUUCCGGGGUUUAGUGCCGUAACUAACGCAUUAAGCACUCCGCCUGGGGAGUACGACCGCAAGGUU